UGGGGAAUAUUGCACAAUGGGCGCGAGCCUGAUGCAGCCAUGCCGCGUGUAUGAAGAAGGCCUUCGGGUUGUAAAGUACUUUCAGCGGGGAGGAAGGCGAUAAGGUUAAUAACCUUGUCGAUUGACGUUACCCGCAGAAGAAGCACCGGCUAACUCCGUGCCAGCAGCCGCGGUAAUACGGAGGGUGCAAGCGUUAAUCGGAAUUACUGGGCGUAAAGCGCACGCAGGCGGUCUGUCAAGUCGGAUGUGAAAUCCCCGGGCUCAACCUGGGAACUGCAUUCGAAACUGGCAGGCUAGAGUCUUGUAGAGGGGGGUAGAAUUCCAGGUGUAGCGGUGAAAUGCGUAGAGAUCUGGAGGAAUACCGGUGGCGAAGGCGGCCCCCUGGACAAAGACUGACGCUCAGGUGCGAAAGCGUGGGGAGCAAACA
rnacentral:rRNA from 1 species